AACAUCUAUAUUCAUUCCCCUGAAUUCAUCAAUUUGUCUAAAAACAAAAACCAUAAAAAGGAAACUAUACACACAUUCAAAUGAGUCCUGUUUAAUUUCUGACAAAGAGUUCUUGCCUUUUUCCUGAAUAUUGAGGACACAGGAGUUUGGGGUUGCUAGUGCCAACCUAAAGAGGAGUUCUAAAAUUUAAAACAAGUAAACUACGUAAUGUUACUAAGAGAAACAUUACUUGUGAAAACAUUUUGCUCAGAGUCCGGCCAAAAUCUGCCUAAAACUGGUCUCGUUUUUAGGCGCCCGCUCUUUAGACUUAAAUCUUUAAAACCCCUGCUUUCUGCACCCUUGGUUCCUUAGCUUUCAGUGGAUUUCUUCCUUUUUUCAUUCUAAAUACUCAACUGUCCCAGCUGGAGCGCCUCUGUACAUGCAGCUGCCAGUUACAGUGUCCUCUUCCCUUACUACACCUUUAUUUUUGGUUUCUUUUCUUCAGGAGCCCAGCACUCCAGAACAAUUCCUUGGCUUCCUGUGUCAUCUACUCUUCAGGUGAAAAGCUGCUUAAAUGUGUCCUCACGGUCUUGUCACUAGAUACCAAUUUAAGGCUCAGUUUGGGACAUACUUAUUCCCUGGGCUACCUCUCAGAUGCAUAUUGGUGAUAUUUUACAGAAAAGUGAGUGAAAGUUGCUUUUCCCUGCUGCCCCUAGUGGAGUCCAUUAAUUAUGCAUUUAUGUCAGCUGUCGCUGUCACACUGGGAGAAGGGAAGCCAUAUGGACAAAAAGGAUCAUCCUGGCCAGGAGGGCUCUGGAUACUGGCAUCAGCAGCUGAAGGGUCCUGGGCGUUGCCCUUAAGAGCUGUCUCUCUUCCCUGUGAGUCUGGUUUGGGGACAAGAGGGGAAAUGCCUGCCAGAGGGUUAGGGAUUUUUGCCAUUAGCAAGGAACUGGAGUCUCUUCCUGUCUUUUUCUAUGACACUUGCCUGAGAAGGAUUCUGCAUUGUGCAGAAGGCUAAAAGCAGAGUCACACGUUCUCUGCUAACAGACUUGUUGCCAUGGGAACCAAUGCAGAAAAACGAAAAUAAGACUAGAAGUGAAAAAUCAAAUGUGGAAAAAAAGAAUUGCCACGGAAUUGGUUUCUACAUGGCAAUUUGGGCAUUUGGGAUUUAAAGAAAGAGCCCGUUCCCCAAGUGGUCAGAUCAAUGGAAGUGGACGAACUGCCGAGCUGGUCGCUGAUCCCAGGAGGCCAGAGAUAGUGGUGCAGGGAGAGAGUGGUGUGGAGGUUGCAGCUUGCAGGAGGGGAACUUUGUAAAAUCCAGUUCCAUCCCGAUAAAGGUAAGCUCUUCAGCCCAAAUGUUCAGCUAACUGUAUGAUCAGACAUGCCCCUCGGGAAAACACAUCUAUGCUUAGCUCCAUAAACAAAAGCAGCCUGCUGUAACAAUCCUAACCUUCCACAGCCAGCACACGUUACCUGACAAGAUUAUUGCACAACUAGCAUAUUAUUGCUUGAAGCAUCUUUCCAAAUAUUCAAAAACAGGGCCGGGGAUUUAGGCCAGUGGUUCCGUCGCCUGCCUCGCAAGCGCAAGGACCUGAGUUCGAUCCCCGGUACCAAAAAAAACAACAAAAAAACAAAGAGUGACAAUAACAAACCCCACACCUUGCAAAUGGGCAGCUCCCAUCCCCCACAAGAUAAGCUAUUAUAAGUAACUUAAAAUUUACUUAUUAGGGAAAUAAUUAUUUCACUUCGCUUGAUACAAGUCCUCCCUGUAUUCUGGACUUGAUAAUAAAUUGAUUGAAGUAGACUAUAGGACCCCAGGAAAAUCUUCAGCACGGAUUUAAGUUUCACCCUAAUCUGAGAAAAACAGACAUUUGUGUUGUAUUUUCAGAGGCUCCGUGGGAACUGCACCUGUGUUGUCCCCAAGCCUCCCCAAAGGUUAUUUCCUGAAAUUCUAUAAUUAAUGCUUUAUUCCUGUGGCUGUAGCCUGGGCCUGUAUUGAAAUGCAAUUACCCUCAGGAGCUGGGGAAAGGUCACACUGUUGAUGACUUGAUUCCCCAGAGAGCUAAGUUUCAGACAGUACUAAGACUCUUCACCUUAACCCUCCCAUCCUCCCUCAAACACAGACGGAGAAGAAACUAGGAACACAACAUCCACCUGUACAACAGGUAGGGAUGCGGCCCAGGAAGCAGAUUACCUACCAGGUAUGGCUUACCAGGUAAGUUCCAUCUUUAGGGGACAUCUCACGACAAAUGCCCUGAAUAACUUUGCUCUUUGUGUCCAAAGUACACUGCACAUAGAUUUCACUAGAAACACUUUCUUACUGAUGACUUCCUGCCUAUUUGAGCUCCUUGCUGAAGCCUUUACCAAUCUUCAAUUCUUGCAAUAACAAAAGCCCAUUAGGUUAUCUUCUUCUAAGAGUACUUUCACAACUCCAAAAUCCAAUAAAAUACCGGUGUUUUCUCCCACUUGUGAUCUGGAGGCACGCUCCACAAUGCACACAGGACCCUACCCAGAGGUUUGAGUACAGUGGUCUCCCUGAUGUUAGCCAAUUUCUUAUGCCAACAUUUCGGUGAAUUCCAGGAGUGGAGACACACAUGCUUGGUUUUGGCAGGUGGGAGUUAUUAUAAAAAGCCUUGAUUUUCUCUUCUUUCUUUUCUUUUCUUUUCUUUUUUUUUUUUUUUUAACUAAGAACAGAGAAGUAGAUUGCUUUCCGAGAUAGGCCAAUAAAACAUACUCGUAUCUUCACAAGCAGCUAUGCCUUUGAAUUUGCCAUAUGAUAAAGAGGAGAUGGAUGCUUCUCAUUUCUAUAUGGUCUUUCUACAAGCACCUGAUGCCUGGAGAGAGACUAUCUGGUCACUCCUGAAAAAGGAUUAGCUCUUGCCACAACCCCUCUGAUCUAACCGGUAGAUCAUACCUUGAGCUUCUCCAGCAGAGGAGAAGUCACCCACCACUACCUUAUUUAGUAAUUUUUAUCGCAUUUGUUCAUUCCUCAGACAAGAACAACUUAAAACUUAACAACAAAUCUCGUAAGGUACUGAAAAUUAAAAUUCUACUCCUUUCAGUUUUUAAAAGUUGAUUUGACCUCUUAACCCUACAAGGUUAUACAAGUGAUUCUCCACAGUAUCAUGUACCUUAAAAUGUCAUAGAUGUAACUUGCAGUUUUUUCUAGUUUAUCACAUAGCUCAGUAUUUCACAAAAGGAUCAACUUCUUUGACAUUAAGAUUGGUUUUUCACUACCACGGGCAUUUGGAAAUUAAGAGAUUUGGAACCAUUAGUGGCAUAAUCAUUCAGUGUGGCAGGCAUUGUGUUUUACAGAACUAACUUUUAAAACCCAACAGCUCUCCCAUAUUGGCCACUGAAUAUACAUAGUGAUAUAGGGAUUUUUUUCAAUACCUUCCACCUGGAUAUCCAGCAUAUUCUCAAAGUGUUAUUUGAAGGUCAAGAGCCUUUGAAUAACUAUUUUCAAAGCACAAUCUUAUUUUCAAAUGUAUGCACACUGCAUAAUCCAUUACAUGCUUUUGAUAAAUUCAUAUUUCCUAAGAUAAUGCAAAAAGUCCAGAUCAAGGCUAAAACUCACCCAUUGUUUGAACCUAUCUUUAUUAUAUAGCUGCUGUUCCACCUUUUGGCUAACCCUAAAGCAUUAAGAAGCUAAUCCUAACAUGAAUAAAAAACUUUGAUUUUUAACCUUAAACAGCAAAGACUGGUAUUUUGUUGGAAAUAAACAAAUUCUACUGUUCAACUUGCCAAUGGCGUUUAAUAUCUGAAGAGAUUCCUCCUUUGGACUAACUUUUGGGAAUUUGGAACACUGUCACUUUUCAGCACUUAGGAAUGCUGCUGGGCAGCUGCAAUUGGCAGUCCUGGGGUGCCCCGAGAGAAGGUCUGGUGGGGCUGGCCACACUGGGCUUCCCACUGGCCACUGAAGAGGCACACAUGGGCUUGAUCUAUGCCUUCCUCAUUCUAGGCUCUCUGUAGUUUAUUUCCUAGAAAACAUUAUCUUAAGUGUUGUUCAAGUUGCAUUCCUUUUUUUAUUUUGUACUGAGGAUCGAACUCAGAACCUUGUGCUUGUGAGGCAGGAGCAAUGCCACUGAGCUAAAUCCCCAGCCCACUCCUUUCUGAGUGGUAUGUGUCCUAUCCUGUCCUUACACACAAAGCCCCCUCCUAAGAAUAGGGCGUUUGCUGACAAUAGAGCAAAUCUUUCUCCUGUGUAUAGGUGCAUGGUAAGUGUUCAGAAUAUGGUAAGUGUCCAUGAGAAGUAUGUACAUUUUUAUUAGGUAUUUAGACCACAAGUGAUUCUUUUAAUGAAAAGGGACACUGAAGGUUAAUUUCUAUUCUUUCCUUCCCUGGGAUGAAUUCCUCCCAUUAGAGCAGUAGGACUUGACGCCAAGCCUUAAGAUGCCUAUUGCCCUAUGACUUUGACCCCAAAUGGUUACCUCCUUGGAGCGGGACAAAGUGAAAGCAAAGUGGAAAGCUAGAGGUCAGCCAGCCUGUGACUAUUCCUUCCCCAUAUGAUUCAUUCAGGAAGAUACUGCAGUUACCUCUGUCUUGUCACCUGACACUUGGACUUUUUGAGAAGAAAUUUUAUCUAUUUAUCUAUCCUCUUAUCUAUCUGUCAUCUUUCUAUCUUUCAUCUAUCUACCAUCUAUCAUGUAUCUCCAGGAACCUAUCUUCAUAAAGAAAUUACAAAUGUUCCUUAUCCAUAUCAUAAAAACAAUAAAGCUGAAAAUAGGCAUUUGCCAUUUUAGGACACCUCAGGAGAAAGUGACAACACAUUGUUUUCCGUCCUCCCCUCAUGUUUUGUAGCUACGCAGCGCAUUAAUUAGACUUUUUAUGUGUUUUUGUCUCCCCACUAGAUUGUGUUUCCUGAGGGUCUGGCCAUGGCUUAUUUACAUUGUUAUCUUUCACUGUUCUCAUUAUAGAACUUGGAACGUUCUUUGCUCAUUCACAUUGGAUGAUUAAAUUGAAUGUGCAGUAAGAAAAAGAUGUUUUUAAAUCAAUGACUUUUUAAAAAUCCGAGGAUAAACGCUAAAGCCAGAGGGCAAACCCCAGCUUGGAGCCACAUUAGGAGGGAACCGAGUCUCCCCUCCUCCUAGGGGCUGCAGUGGGCGGCGCUUGCGCGCUGAGCAUGCGCCUGGGGCUCCAGUCAACCCAGGUCCCCGCUCCUCCCUGGGCUCCAUCUCUUCAGCUCUGAGGGUCUGGAUGAACUCUCACAGUAGGAGUAAGUAUCAGGGGGUAGAUGAGCACGGUGGGGAUGUUUAUGGAAGGGUUUUUUCAAAGGAAAGAAAAAGACAUAGUCCCUCAUCUUGAAGUAGACUAUGAUGACCUAGGGCCCUAGGUCACAGGGAUGGGAACUAUCGUUUUUAGGAAAUAUAUGGAAAGGGGUGGACCCAAUAGUGAGAGAGAUGGAGCAGCAGAGGGGUGGUGUGCGUGUGUGGAGACAGAGUCUGGGGGAGGGAGGAGAGAGAGAGAGAGAGAGAGGGAGCCAAGUUCGAAUUUUUUGGGAAAUGGUCGCGCAGAUCUGCAGUGCUGGGAGCAACAUUCACAGUUUGGUAAAAGACAGCAGAGUGAUGGCCUGCCAAGAAUCUGGAUCCUAAGGAGACCGAGUGGCCCUAUCAAGUACAAAAUCCCUCUUGCUGAUAGAACGACCCCACAGGUAUGCCUGAAGAACUAUCAAAGAUGGCUGGUUUUGAAAUGAGUCAACGGCGUCCAGGGAAGAGAAGUGUUACACGUGAGGAAUAGUAUCCAAGAUGAUAAUGGAGAGGAAACAACCAAAGUGAAGCUUUGCUUGUGACGACCACUCCUUUCUCAGGGAGGGACACAGCCGGCCCACCUGCUUCUUGGGGAGGAGGAGGGUGCAGGGGAGGCCACAGAGCCCCACAGUGUCCCCAAUUCUCUUCCUGUAGCUCCAGAGUCCACUCUACUGCCUCUAAGUGGUUCCCAUUCGUCCUGCAUGCCUCGCAACCUCUUCCAUCAUGGCAGGAGUAGAAGAUGAUAAUGUUGUUCAUCAUUGUGUGGUUCAGAUAGGGGAAAUAAAGGACAGCAAUAAGCCACCAGCCCUCAGGCUCUUAGACAAACAUCAUCGCAGCAAACAAGGGAGCUCUGCCAGCUGCUGACCUAGUGACAGCUACCAGGAAGAAAACACUCAGAUUAGCCAGAUGUGAUGAAGCUAAAAACCUGAGUAGUUGAUACCAAAAGUCUACAGGUAGUAGACCAGGAGCACAAAGAGAAGCAGAAG
rnacentral:lncRNA from 1 species